CGGGUGAGUAACACGUGGAUAACCUACCUAUAAGACUGGGAUAACUUCAGGAAACCGGAGCUAAUACCGGAUAAUAUAUUGAACCGCAUGGUUCAAUAGUGAAAGACGGUUUUGCUGUCACUUAUAGAUGGAUCCGCGCCGCAUUAGCUAGUUGGUAAGGUAACGGCUUACCAAGGCAACGAUGCGUAGCCGACCUGAGAGGGUGAUCGGCCACACUGGAACUGAGACACGGUCCAG
rnacentral:rRNA from 1 species